rnacentral:lncRNA from 1 species
GAUCAUCCACCAGCAUUUUUUUUUUCAAAUAUUCGGCUGUUCCAAAGAAAAACGUAGUAUAUAUUUUCAUUGGAGUUCUUUUUCUUUUAAUGUUACAAGUUACACAUUCGUUUUAGAUGGAAGUAAAUAUUUAUUUUUAUUACUAAUGCUUUUAUACUUUUUAUCUUGGUUUCAACACUUCUUGAUGAACCACUCUAUAACAUGGGAUGCUCUUGACAUGCAAUAGCGUGCAUAAUUCUGAAUUACUUAAAAAUGUUGUUGGAAAUACAUGCAACCAUGUAAAAGUUGUGUAACUACCUUCAAAAGUUUGUUUUUGUUUUGUUCCGUCAUAUUCCAAGAUUUCCGCCGUCUUCUGUAGUAGUUGUAUGGUUGCUGAUUUGGGCUUGGUGCGCUGGUGGCUGACCUGUUUGGGGUGGCUCGAAUUUUCGGAUUCCUCCGGCAUCUCCCGACUAGCGGUUGUUGAUGCUUGGCUCUUUCUCAAAAUGUGCUUUAUUGUUUUUCUCCCAUUCUUGUAAGCAAGAUUUCUAGUAAAAAUGGAAGCCAUUCGGUAAUGAAGAUCAUGCGCACUAAUGUUUUUCAUUAGUGGAAAACAUUAAUGCUAACACCUAUGUGAAUGGUAAUGAUCCCUCCUCUAUUUAUGCUUUUAGAAGAGUUGACCGCUUAUAUUUGGAAUCAUUGUCUUUGGUUGAAUGUCAUUGUUGUACUGUAUUUUGAUUGUGUUUAUGUUAUGAAGUGAACCUUUUUUUCGUAAAUAAACAAAAAAAAACCUUAAAAGGUUGGCAAGAUUCCUAAAUUACUCCAUUAUUGAAAUGUCUUAGAAAGUAUAACUUGAAGACUUAGAAUAUAGAUAUUAUUAAAAUGUACACUUUUAACUUUACCUUUCAAUGAAAUAUGUGUUUUCCUCCUAGUAAAACAAAAGGUACUCUUAUAUUUAAACAUACAAGUAACACUUUGUUUAUUAGAAAUAAUAUCUAAGUGAAACUUUCAUGUAAUGCGUACUAUUUAUUAAGUAUUUUAUUGAAUUAGUGCCACCCUUAAUCGAAUUACCAACUCGGUUAGAAAAAUUAUAAAAAUGCUUUUUUGAAAUUAAAAUAGGUUAUACUAUUUGAGGGUAUUUUAGUCUUUUUAUUUAAACAAAAACUAAUAAAAAUAUGGUGGGAUUUGAACCCACACCAAUUGUAUUAAUAAAAUUAUAAAUUGACCCUCAACCAAAGUUUCAUUUUAGUGUUUUCAUACGUUUUUAUUUUAAUAUGCGCAAUUUAUUACCUUCAUUUUAAUGACGUCAUAUUAAUAUGAUAUAUUUAUGUGUUGAAAUUUAGUUUUAUUUGUAAUUCAAUUUUUUUUUAAUAUCAUACAUAUUUCAUAUGUUAUUAUGAUUAAAUCAUAUAUUUAUUAUUUAUUAUAUAUUAUUUUUAAAGUGUUGUACACGCAUAUGCGUGUAAGAUUUCUAGCAUUUGUAAUUUGUUUAAAUUGCAUUAUCCAAUACUUGUAGCAAGUUCACUCUUUUUUUCUUUCUAUAAUUGUGCAUUAAUAACCUCUUUUGAGGCUUAUAAAUGGAGCUUUUUAAUCUUUUUAGCUUAUUUUAAAUUCUCUUGUAAAUUUCUCUAAAACAAUCCUAACAACUACUAAAACUCACUUUUCAUCGUAUUUAUUUUUCAGUGUCAGUUUGAAUCUUUCUUUUCGUCAUUUUUUCGCAACAUUCAGUUUUACUGAUUUUUAACGUUUUGUUUUUUUACAUAAAAAAACUAUUUACAAAUUUUAAAUUAAUGUGAAAAUAGAUUAAAGUUAAGAAUAAUAAUCCGAAAAGAGACACUAAAUUUCAGGUUGAUAUAGGAUGCCACCAUAUCCAGGCUGUUUCACUUUCAUCCUCCGUAGCAAGCUGUUGAGAAUUAAAGCUGUGGGUCAAAUAAGCAAGGGAACCAGUGAUCAUGAUGGGUAUUAAUCAUUCUGGGUGAUGUAUUGAAUUGUAAUUUUCUUGGACUCAUCACUUUAGGAUUAACCUAACCCUCCUGGCUCCUGCACGUUUCAAGUUCAACCACAAGUCUUUUAAACUUCUUCAAUGAUCUCAUAUCUAUAAUCUAUAACUACUAUUAAAAUAGAUACAUGAAAUUUACUUUACAUGUUUCAGCUUGAUUUUGUGAUGCCUGUUUUAUUUUAUUUCAUUUUCUUUUAAAAUUUUUCGUGUACUUUUUAUUAAAUUGGAUUGGAUCGAUCAAUUAAAUUGAGAAUUGAUUAAAGUAAAAAAUUAAAUUGAUUGACUCA